CUGCGCUAGAUGGAGAGGCAGCGGCACUCUGUAACCUACAAUCCGCUAUAGAUGGGUCGAACGCCGUCCUCGGUUUGCGUAUGGGAGGACAGUUGCCGUUAGGUGAUGUUGAUACUAAGGUCUUGUGCAACGUCUGCUUGCGAACCGUGUCAGGGCUUGACCGCAGCAGCACUAAACAAGAUGUGGCGUGUGCCACAAGGUAGCUUUAGCGGAGUCAACCGACGGAAAAACGCUUCGGUGCGUAUUAUCAAAGACGGUGCGCAG
rnacentral:SRP_RNA from 1 species